CCAGGCGUCGAGCGGCGGACGGGUGAGUAAUGCUUAGGAAUCUGCCUAUUAGUGGGGGACAACAUUCCGAAAGGAAUGCUAAUACCGCAUACGUCCUACGGGAGAAAGCAGGGGACCUUCGGGCCUUGCGCUAAUAGAUGAGCCUAAGUCGGAUUAGCUAGUUGGUGAGGUAAAGGCCUACCAAGGCGACGAUCUGUAGCGGGUCUGAGAGGAUGAUCCGCCACACUGGGACUGAGACACGGCCCAGACUCCUACGGGAGGCAGCAGUGGGGAAUAUUGGACAAUGGGGGGAACCCUGAUCCAGCCAUGCCGCGUGUGUGAAGAAGGCCUUUUGGUUGUAAAGCACUUUAAGCGAGGAGGAGGCUACUAGUAUUAAUACUACUGGAUAGUGGACGUUACUCGCAGAAUAAGCACCGGCUAACUCUGUGCCAGCAGCCGCGGUAAUACAGAGGGUGCAAGCGUUAAUCGGAAUUACUGGGCGUAAAGGGAGCGUAGGUGGCUCGAUAAGUCAGAUGUGAAAUCCCCGGGCUCAACCUGGGA
rnacentral:rRNA from 1 species